ensembl:lncRNA
GGGAAACUGGAUCAGCAGGCUUGAACGUGAGCUCAGGGACGUGAAGCUUGGCUUGUGCGUCAGAGCCUGGAGGCUUGGCUUGGGCAUCAGAGCCUGGAGGCUUGGCUUGGACAUAAGAGACUGGAGGCUUGGCUUGGACCUCAGGGAGGUGAGACUUGACUUGGACUUGGAUCUCAGGGACUUGAGGCUUGACUUGGAUCUAAGGGGCUUGAGGCUUGAACGUGAGCUCAGGGACGUGAAGCUUGGCUUGUGCGUCAGAGCCUGGAGGCUUGGCUUGGGCGUCAGAGCCUGGAGGCUUGGCUUGGGCGUCAGAGCCUGGAGGCUUGGCUUGGACAUAAGAGACUGGAGGCUUGGCUUGGACCUCAGGGAGGUGAGACUUGACUUGGACUUGGAUCUCAGGGACUUGAGGCUUGACUUGGAUCUAAGGGGCUUGAGGCUUGGCUUGGAGCUCAGGGACUGGAGGCUUGGCUUGGAGCUCAGGGACUGGAGGCUUGGCUUGGAGCUCAGGGACUGGAGGCUUGGCUUGGAGCUCAGGGACUGGAGGCUUGGCUUGGAGCUCAGGGACUGGAGGCUUGGCUUGGAGCUCAGGGACUGGAGGCUGGACCUGGAGCUCAGGGACUGGAGGCUGGACCUGGAGCUCAGGGGCUGGCGGCUGGACCUGGAGCUGAGGGGCUGGCGGCUGGACCUGGAGCUCAGGGACGUGAGACUUGACUUGGAUCUCAGGGACGUGAGACUUGACUUGGACUUGGACCUUUUGUUGGAGCUUGGCGGGUGAGCCCACCUCGUGGGGCUGAGGUUCGAGCUCUGAGGUCACCCUGUCGGUCCCGGGCUGGGUCUCUGCACGGGCUCUCCGGUGGAGUUUCUUAUGUUCCUGCCA